rnacentral:lncRNA from 1 species
UUAAAUGUGUGAAAUAUAUUAAAACAUAUUCUCAACCAUAUCAAAAUUCAUAUACAUCCUAAUGUUCAACAAAGAACCAAAACAGUUUACAACAUGGUACUUGGCCCUCAAUAUGCAGAGAGCCCAUUCCCCAUCUUCAUUUUGCAAAAACAAUUCAUCAGUCAAUUUAUUCAUUUUUCUAUACCGAAAUUAAAGCUUUCUUAAAAAGCAUUAAUUUCAUGAAAAGCAUUCUUACCUGAUGAUUAUAGAGAUAUAUGCACAUCAUAACAGCAUUUAGACCUCCAGUAAUUGAAAGUGCAAUGAU